GUGUAGAAUAUUCUGGAUAUCGUGAAGUAUGCAUGAAAGUUGUGAGUGGUCAAUAAGGGAUCAGUCACUCCUAAUAAGGGGAGCAAAGAUCCUAUAUGAUCUCACAGGAUGAUGAUUCGAAAAGCCUUUGGCCAAAGUAGGAUGAUAAUUAGAAAAGAGUUUCUAAUACAUCAUCAAUUGAAUCAUCACCUUCUAAUCAAGAUAUAUA
rnacentral:lncRNA from 1 species